rnacentral:rRNA from 1 species
UACCAGCCCCCUGAGUUAUAGGGACGAUUAUUUAGCCUAAAGCGUUCGUAGCCGGCUUAGCAAGUCCUUCGUUAAAUCUAACGACUCAAUCGUUAGACCGCGGAAGAUACUGCUAAGCUUGAGGGCGGAGAGGUUGACGGUAGUUCCGGGGUAGGGGUGAAAUCCAAUAAUCCCGGGAGGACCACCAGUGGCGAAGGCGGUCGACCAGAACGCGCCUGACGGUGAUGGACGAAAGCUGGGGGAGCGAACCGGAUUAGACACCCGGGUAGUCCCAGCUGUAAACGAUGCGAGCUAGGUGUUGGGGUAGCUACGGGCUGCUCCAGUGCCGCAGAGAAGUUGUUAAGCUCGCCGCUUGGGGAGUACGGCCGCAAGGUUGAAACUUAAAGGAAUUGGCGGGGGAGCACCACAAGGGUGAAGCCUGCGGUUU